rnacentral:rRNA from 1 species
AUACAGAGGGUGCAAGCGUUAAUCGGAUUUACUGGGCGUAAAGCGCGCGUAGGCGGCUAAUUAAGUCAAAUGUGAAAUCCCCGAGCUUAACUUGGGAAUUGCAUUCGAUACUGGUUAGCUAGAGUGUGGGAGAGGAUGGUAGAAUUCCAGGUGUAGCGGUGAAAUGCGUAGAGAUCUGGAGGAAUACCGAUGGCGAAGGCAGCCAUCUGGCCUAACACUGACGCUGAGGUGCGAAAGCAUGGGGAGCAAACAGGAUUAGAUACCCCGAGUAGUCC